UUGUAAAAUUGUAACAAGAAGAGUUUUUGACGCCAUAGAAUGGCCAAGUAUUUACAUAUUCGAAUUUAAACAAUGGAUUAUUUCACAAAAGGUGAAGAAGAAAUGAGAGAAAUUAUAAUAAGACAGAAAUGAUUCAAAAGAGCUUUAAUACCUUUUCUUAUACACAUAUAUUUAUUGUACUCUUUUCGAAUAAUAAACUCAUCAUAGAGACC
rnacentral:lncRNA from 1 species